rnacentral:rRNA from 1 species
UACAGGGGGGGCAAGCGUUGUUCGGAAUUACUGGGCGUAAAGGGCUCGUAGGUGGCCAACUAAGUCAGACGUGAAAUCCCUCAGCUUAACUGGGGAACUGCGUCUGAUACUGGAUGGCUUGAGUGUGGGAGAGGAAUGCGGAAUUCCAGGUGUAGCGGUGAAAUGCGUAGAUAUCUGGAGGAACACCGGUGGCGAAGGCGGCAUUCUGGACCAUAACUGACACUGAGAGACGAAAGCCAGGGGAGCAAACGGG